rnacentral:rRNA from 1 species
AUUCCAGCUCCAAUAGCGUAUAUUAAAGUUGUUGCAGUUAAAACGCUCGUAGUCGGAUUUCGGGGCGGGCCGACCGGUCUGCCGAUGGGUAUGCACUGGCCGGCGCGUCCUUCCACCCGGAGACCGCGCCUACUCUUAACUGAGCGGGCGCGGGAGACGGGUCUUUUACUUUGAAAAAAUCAGAGUGUUUCAAGCAGGCAGUCGCUCUUGCAUGGAUUAGCAUGGGAUAAUGAAAUAGGACUCUGGUGCUAUUUUGUUGGUUUCUAGAGCUGAGGUAAUGAUUAAUAGGGAUAGUUGGGGGCAUUCGUAUUUAACUGUCAGAGGUGAAAUUCUUGGAUUUGUUAAAGACGGACUACUGCGAAGGCAUUUGCCAAGGAUGUUUUCAUCG